rfam:Halococcus saccharolyticus DSM 5350 contig_21, whole genome shotgun sequence.
GGGCCGGUAGCUCAGUUAGGCAGAGCAUCUGACUCUUAAUCAGACAGUCGGGGGUUCAAAUCCCUCCCGGCCCG